rnacentral:lncRNA from 1 species
GAAAAUGAAGAAUUUGAAUGCCUUGUACUUUUUUAUUUUACUUAUUGCGGUAACUGUUGCAAGUGUGUCGUCUAUAAGAUGCUACGUAUGUCUUUCGUGCAGUGAUCCCUUUGAGGAAAGUAGUUCUAUAAUAUCCUCCUGUUCCGGGUCAUGUGUUAAAGGAAAAACGGGCGACACUGUGUUUAGAGGAUGUUCAGACUACAACGGUGGAGACGAUUGUAUCGAACAGGAUGGCGCUGAAGCGUGUUCAUGUACAUCAGAUCUAUGUAACAAAGCUUCCGGAAUCAGCAUUUCAUUGGCUGUUGUCAGUUUCUCCAUUAUUUGCAUGUUCUUGUGGAUGAACUAAAACAAGAGGAAGUAACUCAGACUGCACAAAUUUAAAGUGAUUUUAAAUGUUAUAUCUUUAAAUACUAAUGAUUACAUCUCUAUAAUAGAUUGUAUUUCAUGACAUAUUUAUCUAAAAUUAUGCUUAUUCAUUUUACAAUAUACUUAUUCUAAAACUAUCUUGUUGUCAUUUCACUGGCUUGUGUUUGCAAUUUUCACAAACACUUAACCAUACAAAUCUUGAACAACAAAAUAAAAAUGACUUUGUAUAUGUUGAAAAAUCAUUAUAAUUUUUAAUAAUGAUAAAUUGCUUUUAACGUAAAAAUUAAAUCUUCCCGAUGAUAAAUUGCAAUUAUUUUAUACAUUCACGUAUAAAUAUUAUUUUGUUCAAAAUUAAAAAAAAAACACUUUCAUAUCUUUGGUAAUUUCAAUAAUCUUACUUAUUACUAUUUUGUAAGCUCUUCCGGUAAUCUACGGCUGUUAAUGUUAUAGAACUAACUGUAUACUUUCCGUUUCAAAGGAGAAGCCGAAAUCGCGUACGGAUCAUAAUCGAAUCCGAUAGUCAAUAUGUGUACAAAGCGAUCAGUGUAAUUAGACAGAGUUUAUAGAAAACAUGUUCUGAAUAAUACUAAAAGCAAUAGUGAACUUGUUACUGCAUUACUGUUUUGAUAAAUAUUCAGUAUAUAUGUGUUUGAAACUAGCGGAGGCGGUUAACUGUUCGAUUUUCCGUAGUCUUUUUGUAUCGACAAUGGUUUUGAUCAUUCAUUAACUCUCGACAUACAAUGCCUGAAAAUCGAUACAUACAAUGUCUAAGAAAUGGUUCACAUAAUGUCUCAGAACUGAUAUAUACGUUUUUUGUUCAAUUUCUAAUGUUGUAUGCCAUAAUUGUUGAUUGUGGCCAAAAUAAAACAAAAUCCUACACACACAUCUUAAGUGAAAUGUAUACAUGACUUUUAUACAAAAGAAGGUCCAGAGCAGCAUGAAAUGUUUUAUAUUGAUUUAAAAUCUAUUUACCUCAAAGGGAAUAUAUUCUUUUCAUUCUCGAGAGGUAAAGCCUAUUCAGAUCACGUAGGUAAGCUGUUAAUAAUUUAUUUAAAUUGAAUUGAAGACAAUUGCCUGCGUGAAAGUCAAAUAUCAUCGCUAAGAUAAAUUUGUAAUCGUUGCUCUUUACUGUUCCCAAAGACAUUUAUCAUGUCUUUGUCGUUUACAGUUCUCAAAAGCAUGCGCUUUUUUAUUCCCUUAUCAUAAAAUCAAUACAUGAUUUGUUAAAGAAGUUUAACGGAAAAGUGCAUUACGAAGGUGUAUUGUUAUUCUGUCACAUUUUGGCAAAAUCGAAUCAAAUUGUUUAUCAAGAUUCUCUUUGGUGGAACUAAAAAGUUCACACUUACUUAAUUUAUGUACUAUUUAUGCACAGGUUUUCGUAAUCUUUUAUUGUUAAAAAUAUCAUGUACAGAAAAAAGCAUGUACUAUAUUUUUAUUUCGUGAAUAUCUUUUGUUAGAAAGUCCCCCUGUUUUCAGAUUAGCAUAUUAAUUUACAUCAAUUGAUGGGAUAUUUCCCAAGAUAUAUUUGAGCAAUUAAAUCGUAAUAUAGGUUUCACUGAGUGAUUUACCGAUAAUUCAUGGAAUCCAGUAAGUUUCACUUUGUGGUAUAUACCGGAAAUUCAUGAAAUGCAGAAAGGUUCACUCAGUGUUUUAUAUCGGUAUUUUAUGAAAUGAAGUGAAGUUACCUGGGUGAUUUAUCCCAAAUUCGCGUCAGGAGAAAGAUUACUACCUGUGCGUGGUACAAUGUCAGACUACAUCCCUAUCUGUAAAUAAUGUGAAGCAAUUCCUGUACAAAACAAGUGAAUGAAGUAUUGCCAUGCAAUACAAAGUCCCCUUCUGGAAGGCACCUA